rnacentral:snoRNA from 13 species
UUUCCCUGACUUGGGUAUAGUGGCAUCUGGUUGGUGGUGCCCAUCUCAUAUCAGCCAGGGACAAAGCAACCCCUUGUUCCUCUCAGCUUGGAUUUUCAUCUAUGCCUAUGCCUGGUUCAUGCCUUGGACAUAUUA